GUGCGGGAUGACGGCCUUCGGGUUGUAAACCGCUUUCGUGGGGGAAGAGGAAGGACGGUACCUCAGGAAUAAGUCUCGGCUAACUACGUGCCAGCAGCCGACGGUAAAACGUAGGAGGCGAACGUUAUCCGGAUUUACUGGGUGUAAAGCGCGUGCAGGCGGUCAUGUAAGUCGUGUGUGAAAGCGCCCAGGCUCAACCGGGCGAGGACGGACGAAACUGCGUGACUGGAGGCAGGUAGAGGCGUGCGGAAUUCCGGGUGUAGUGGUGAAAUGCGUAGAUAUCCGGAGGAACACCAGUGGCGAAGGCGGCGCGCUGGACCUGACCUGACGCUAAGACGCGAAAGCAUGGGGAGCGAACGGGAUUAGAAACCCCGGUAGUCCAUGCCGUAAACGAUGCGUACUAGGUGUUGCGGCGUCAAGCUGCAGUGCCGAAGCAAACGUGAUAAGUACGCCACCUGGGGACUACGGCCGCAAAGGUUA
rnacentral:rRNA from 1 species